ensembl:snoRNA SNORA63 Small nucleolar RNA SNORA63
ACGCAGGAUCUAGUUACAAUGUAGCUGUGAAGUGCUACAUUGUCUUUGCUCCCUGCACAAAAUAAAACUGUUUCCUUUCUAGCCCUGUCGCCCAUGGUACCAUAGCUGUCGGGGAUGCAUGGUCUCACACAU